UCUAGAGGUACCCAAGUAACUGGACACUUUCAUACAGGCAGAGCAGUACCCUUCCUAGCAGCCAAAAAAAGAAAAAAAAAAAAAAAAAACUCGCCUGAAUCGCCCGGGAGGAGAUCCUCUGCGCAUGCGCCAUUAUAGCACCCUGAAAACAGAGAACCGAAACCCUGGAUCAUGAUGAUGAUAAAACCCCUAACGGUCAAAACCCGCGACAAAAGGUCGACGCACGUCGGAACGGUACCUUACAGGGUGCUAUUACGUUCUGCGUCGACCUUUUUCAACUCUAUCCUAAUCAUUCAACUCUCUACUUAAAAGUUACCAAAUCUAAAAACAAAAAUAUCUAUUGUACCCUUUUCUUAAUAUUACAACACUUUUCUUUUCUAUUCCAGAAAUCCCACUCUCAACCGGGCAAGUCUAGUCCUACCUCAUGUCCCCCGCCUUGACAAAGAACCGCCCAAAUACACGUGUGUGUGCUUCUUUGUGAGUCAAGAAAAGAGGGUGCACGCGAGCUGGUGAAUAUUCACAAUGUUAAAAUAGCCUGAGACUGGGGUAGAAGCUUCAAGUCGUAGAAGGGACUAUUUUCUGUCCCUUCUACGAUUUGAUGCUUCUACCCCAGUCUCGGGUGAUAUCAAAACGGCCCUGCCCCGGCUCAACGUGGACGCUUCUGUGAACGUGUGUGUGUGUGCACUUUCCUGGUGAACUUUGGAUAACUCUGGACUAUGGACACAAAAGCGACGACGCUAGACAACAUGCAAGGAAAGCACGAGCGAGUUGUACGGCUGGCCCUCCGUUUCAAGAAACCAAUGGCCUCCUGACCCGAGUCUUCUUCAGCUGCGGAUGACCGCUUCAAUGGAAACACCGAUUGUGACAACUCUCUGCGAGUAACAUGUGUGUGAAAUCGUGUUAGCCAGCUCCUAGCUUAAAA